AGUAAUACUUUGGUGGCGACCGGCGUACGGGUGAGUAACGCGUAUGCAACCUACCCUGUACAGGGGGAUAGCCCGGAGAAAUUCGGAUUAAUACCCCAUAAAUAUAUUUGAAGGCAUCUUCAGAUAUUUAAAGUUUCGACGGUACGGGAUGGGCAUGCGUAACAUUAGCUAGUUGGUAAGGUAACGGCUUACCAAGGCUACGAUGUUUAGGGGUCCUGAGAGGGUGAUCCCCCACACUGGUACUGAGACACGGACCAG
rnacentral:rRNA from 1 species